rnacentral:tRNA from 1 species
GCGCCUGUAGCUCAGCUUGGAUAGAGCAGUACCCUCCUAAGGUAAAGGUCGGGAGUUCAAAUCUUCCUAGGCGCG